rnacentral:snoRNA from 1 species
CCAGUGAUGAAUUUUUUUCAUGCAGAGUUGUUAAAGUGAUGAUAUGAAAAAAAUUUUCCUCUAAGAAGUUCUGAAGGGA